rnacentral:lncRNA from 1 species
UCAGUAGUUUCAGUAGAGAGAGGAGUUUCAGUAGUUUCAGGAGAGAGAGGAGUUUCAGUAGAAAGAGGAGUUUCAGUAGUUUCAGUAGAGAGAGGAGAGAGGAGAGAGAGGAGAGAGAGGAGAGAGAGGAGUUUCAGUAGUUUCAGUAGAGAGAGGAGAGAGAGGAGAGAGAGGAGAGAGAGAGGAGAGAGGAGUUUCAGUAGUUUCAAGAGAGAGUGGACUUUCAGUAGUUUCAGUAGAGAGAUGAGUUUCAGUAGUUUCAGUAGAGAGAGGAGAGAGAGGAGAGAGAGGAGUUUCAGUAGUUUCAGUAGAGAGGGGAGAGAGAGGAGAGAGAGGAGAGAGAGGAGAGAGAGGAGUUUCAGUAGAGAGAGGAGAGAGAAGAGAGUGUGAGAGAAAUAUAUGUUCCUGGCAGGAAGGUUGGAGGAUUUCCCCUCCUGAAUAGACUCCAUGAUGGAGCGGAUAUCCUCUCUCCAAGUCAGCUCUCUGGACUGGCGCUUUGCACCGUUUAACAACAAAAUAACGUAUUCGCUAUUACAGAGCAGUCAUCCGUUUAGC